UACGUAGGGACCAAGCGUUGUUCGGAUUUACUGGGCGUAAAGGGCGCGUAGGCGGCGCUGUAAGUCACUUGUGAAAUCUCCGGGCUUAACUCGGAACGGUCAAGUGAUACUGCAGUGCUAGAGUGCAGAAAGGGCAAUCGGAAUUCUUGGUGUAGCGGUGAAAUGCGUAGAUAUCGGAAGGAACACCAGUGGCGAAAGCGACUUCCUGGUCCAAUACUGACGUUCAUGUGCGAAAGCGUGGGGAGCAAACAGG
rnacentral:rRNA from 1 species